rnacentral:rRNA from 1 species
GAUGAACGCUGGCGGCGUGCCUAAUACAUGCAAGUCGAGCGAACGGACGAGAAGCGUGCUUCUCUGAUGGUAGCGGCGGACGGGUGAGUAACGCGUGGAUCGCCUACCUCUAAGACUGGCGUGACUUCGGGAGAAAGGAGCUGAUAACAGCUAAUAUUUUGAACCGCAUGGUUCAAGAGUGAAAGACGGUCUUGCUGUCUCUAAUAGAUGGAUCCGCGCUGCAUUAGCUAGUUGGUAAGGUAACGGCUUACCAAGGCAACGAUGCAUAGCCGACCUGAGAGGGUGAUCGGCCACACUGGAACUGAGACACGGUCCAGACUCCUACGGGAGGCAGCAGUAGGGAAUCUUCCGCAAUGGGCGAAAGCCUGACGGAGCAACGCCGCGUGAGUGAUGAAGGUCUUCGGAUCGUAAAACUCUGUUAUUAGGGAAGAACAUAUGCGUAAGUAACUGUGCACAUCUUGACGGUACCUAAUCAGAAAGCCACGGCUAACUUCGUG